rfam:Stegodyphus mimosarum contig52538, whole genome shotgun sequence.
GCCUUCGUGGUGCAGUGGUCAGCACUCUCGAAGGGUAACCGAGAGGUCCGUGGUUCGAUUCCCGACGAAGACG